AACUUUGUAGUGAAGUUCACGUUGGAUUGCAAAUCCAGAGAUGCGCUUAAGCGCCAGAGUUA
rnacentral:tRNA from 1 species